GGCCCUUCUAUAAAGGAGCUCGAGCGGACGAUGGGAGCUUGCUCCCUGUAUAUUAGCGGCGGACGGGUGAGUAACACGUGGGUAACCUGCCUGGAAGACUGGGAUAACUCCGGGAAACCGGGGCUAAUACCGGAUGCUUGUUUGAACCGCAUGGUUCAGACAUAAAAGGUGGCUUCGGCUACCACUUACAGAUGGACCCGCGGCUUAUUAGCUAGUUGGUGAGGUAACGGCUCACCAAGGCGACGAUGCGUAGCCGACCUGAGAGGGUGAUCGGCCACACUGGGACUGAGACACGGCCCAGACUCCUACGGGAGGCAGCAGUAGGGAAUCUUCCGCAAUGGACGAAAGUCUGACGGAGCAACGCCGCGUGAGUGAUGAAGGUUUUCGGAUCGUAAAGCUCUGUUGUUAGGGAAGAACAAGUGCCGUUCGAAUAGGGCGGCACCUUGACGGUACCUAACCAGAAAGCCACGGCUAACUACGUGCCAGCAGCCGCGGUAAUACGUAGGUGGCAAGCGUUGUCCGGAAUUAUUGGGCGUAAAGGGCUCGCAGGCGGUUUCUUAAGUCUGAUGUGAAAGCCCCCGGCUCAACCGGGGAGGGUCAUUGGAAACUGGGGAACUUGAGUGCAGAAGAGGAGAGUGGAAUUCCACGUGUAGCGGUGAAAUGCGUAGAGAUGUGGAGGAACACCAGUGGCGAAGGCGACUCUCUGGUCUGUAACUGACGCUGAGGAGCGAAAGCGUGGGGAGCGAACAGGAUUAGAUACCCUGGUAGUCCACGCCGUNAACGAUGAGUGCUAAGUGUUAGGGGGUUUCCGCCCUUAGUGCUGCAGCUAACGCAUUAAGCACUCCGCCCUGGGAGUACGGUCGCAAGACUGNAACUCAAGGAAUUGACGGGGGCCGCACAGCGGUGGAGCUGUGGUUUAUUCGAAGCACGCGAAGAACUUACAGGUCUUGACUCCUCUGACAUCCUAAAGAAGGACGUCCCUUCGGGGCAAAUGACAGUGGUGCAUGGUGUCGUCCGCUCGUGUCUGAGAGUUGGGUAAGUCCGCACCAGCGCAACCUUGAUCUAGUGGCAGCAUCAUUGGGCCUCUAAGGGACUGCCGGGACAACCGAAGAAGGUGGGAUGACUCAAUCAUCUGCCCUUUGACUGGGCUACACCUGGUACAUGGGCAGACAAGGCAGCAAACCCCGGGUUAGCCAUCCCCAAUCUUUCCAUUCGAACCAUUUGCACCCCCGCUGAACUGAACCCUAAAACCGGAACACUGCCCGGGAAACUUCCCG
rnacentral:rRNA from 1 species